rnacentral:rRNA from 1 species
AUGAUCAUUGAUUCAUUGUUAUCUGCUGCAGCUCUCAAAAAUGGGAAGGGGUUCCUGGCCACGAACGUGGGAAUGGAUGGUUCUUUGAUAAAAUCAGAUGCUGACGUAGCCGCACCAAGGAGCAAGUUAAGUUGCAACUUCAGCAGUUAUCGCACGAACAUGUGUGCCAUGCAAGGUGACGUCCGUCUGCACGGCAAAACCGCCACUGUCUACGUGGUCUCAGCGUCCGAUGACAACCGGCCAGACAAUGGGACGGUCGUGAUCCGCCCGUACCCGCGCAAAUGGGAGACACCGACGAUGCAGCUGGUCCGUGGGGUGACCAUCCGUUGGAGAGCCCCACCGGGACCGGGUGCGCCACGGUGCACGGUGACCUACGACAUCCCAGCGGUUGUCUUCUCCACCGGUGGCUACGGCGUCAACAUCUUCCACGCCAUUACCGACAUCAUCAUGCCUCUCUACAACACAGCGCGGGAGUACGAUGGCCGCGUCCGGCUCGUGGCCACUAACUACGACCGCAAAUGGAUCACCAAGUACCGUCACGCCCUCUCCAUGCUCUCCAUCUACCCGAUCAUCGACUUCGACACCGACAACGAGGUGCGCUGCUUCCCGUCGGUGCAUGUCGGAACGGAGAGCCAUAAGGAGCUAGGGAUUGACUCGGCUCUCUCCGGCAAGGGCUACACAAUGCUGGGCUUCCGGGGCCUGCUCCGGUCGGCUUACUCUCUGAAGCGUGAGUGGGUGACCCCCAAAAACGGUGUCAGACCUCGUCUCGUGAUGGUGCUGCGAAGGAACUCGAGGGCGCUGACGAACGAGGCGGAAGUUCUGGCAGCUGGCACCGAGGUUGGCUUCGAGGUGGUAGCUGCGGGGCCGGAGGUGGUGCGCGACCUGGCCAAGUUCGCACAGACGGUGAACUCGUGUGACGUGUUGGUGGGCGUGCACGGUGCGGGGCUCAGCAACAUGGUGUUCCUCCCGCACAACGACACGGUGGUGCAGAUCGUCCCUUGGGGCGAGAUGAAGUGGCCGGCCUGGACCUCCUACGGCGAGCCGGUGGCUCCCAUGGGGCUUCGGUACGUCGAGCAGGAGACCACCGCCGAGGAGACCACGCUCAAGUACGUGUACCCGAGGAACCACACCGUCUUCACCGAUCCCGUCUCCCUACACAAACAGGGAUUCAACAUGUUGUGGGAGACCUUCCUCAAUGGGCAGAACGUCACCCUCGACGUCGACCGCUUCAGAGGGGUCCUGCAACAGAUCUACCGGUCCGUUACCAUCACAUAA